rfam:Ovis aries breed Texel chromosome 14, whole genome shotgun sequence.
UCCCUGGUGGUCCUGUGGUUAAGACUCCAAGCUUCCAGUGCACUGGGUCCAGGUUCGAUCCCUGGUCAGGGAA